CUGUAUCACGUCAAAACACCGAUUCUUGUUCGAUCACCGAAAUUAAGCAACGUUGAUUCAGAUCCGUAUUUAGAUGGGUGACCGUUGGGGAAUACCAGGUGCUGUAAG